CUGGUCUCAAACUCCUGACCUCAAGUGAUCUGCUUACCUCGGCCUCCCAAAGUGCUGGGAUUACAGACAUGAGCCACUGUGCUCAGCCUGUGUUGAUCUUUAAUAUAGAUUGAGCAUUUCAAAUCUGAAAAUCCAAAAUCUAAAAUGCUCCAAAAUCAAAAGCUUUUUGGGUAACAACAUAACACUCAAAGGAAGCACACACUGGGGCAUUUUGGAUUUCAGAUUUUUGGAUUUGGAAUCCCGAACCAAUAAGUAUAUAAUGCAAAUAUUUCAAAACCUCACAAAAAUCUGAACUCUCAAACACUUCUGGUCCCAAGAGAUUUGGAUAAGGGCUAUUCAACCUGUAUUAGGUCCUACUCAGUUGUCCCCAAAUGUUGGCCCAGAUUGGCUACAUCAAAAUCACCUAAGGAAUGUAUUAAAAACAUGUAUAUUCCCAUGACCUGGCUCAGACAUUUUAAUUUACUAGGGUUUAGCCAAAGAAUCUGCUAAAUCAAAUUAACCAUGUACCCCAGGUAACUACUGCUGUUUAACAUUCCUUCUUACCUCUUAUUCCUGAGAAGAUUUGAGUCAGCCCAGGCCUAGGCCUGAUAUGGUAUCAGAAAAAAAACUGCCCUGAGUGGGUGGAGUGGUUCACAUCUGUAAUCUCAGCACUUUGGGAGGCCAAGGCAGGCAAAUCACUUGAGGUCAGGAGUUUGAGACCAGCCUGGCUAACAUGGUGAAACCCUGUCUCUACUAGAAAUACAAAAGUUAGCCAGAUGUGGUGGCACAUGCCUGUAAUCACAGCUACUUGGGAGGCUGAGGCACAAGAAUCGCUUGAACCUAAGAGGCAAAGGUUGCAGUGAGCAGAGAUCGUGCCACUGUACUCCAGCCUGGGCAACAGAGCAAGACUGUCUCAAAAAAAGAAAAAAGAAAAACAAGAAAAAACUGCCCUAUCCUGACAUGUUCUGAAGUAUGUUGUUCUCAGCAGAACUAACUCAUAAAUGUUGAGAAAACUGGGGGGAAAGGAGGGAGAGAAAUGAUCUUAAAAACUAAAAGAUAAAGGCAUAAAGACCUUGAUCAUCAUUAAAGUUAGUUCUCCAGUGCCUGAAAAAGGCUUUCUUUUACUCCCUGAUAGUUGUCAGCAAAAUCAACUUUCAACUUGAGGUCUCUAGGAAGCCUGCCUUUUUCUCUUGUGCUUGUUGGGAGCAAUACAACAAAAUAUGAUGAUCAUAAAGCUAUGUAAAGAGCUGAGGCUGAUCCAGGUCAGAUCCCUGAUUUGCACUACGAAGCCUAAAGUAGAACACAAUAAUUACCUGGCACUGGCAAACUAAGAUCAUUGCUCUUAAAAUCAGUAUUACACAUGAAAAGGAAAGAACCCACAAGUACUAACGCUCAAGGAAAACAGUGACGUUUUAGGUUUAUACAAAUGAGUAGAGGGUUGCUUAUUUUUUUUUUUUUGAACAUGUAAAAAGGGAAAAUAAUCAAUGGUAGCUUUUUAAUAGGAACAAGAGACUGACUUUACCUUAUAUAUGACUGCAAUACAGCAAGGAGUUCUGCAACAGGAAAUUCCAGAACUAUGUCACACAUGCUAAGCAAAUGAAUAAAUUAUAUUAAGUAACUAAUCAGGCCAGGCAAGUAAUGUCCAAAGAAUGUCACAGCUAUAAAUGAGAGAAUAAUGAGCAGAAUAUAAGAAUAUAGGGUGAAUGAAUGAAUUACAAAAACCAGCUGUUAUUUUAAAAUAGUCUAAUGUGUAUAUACAACAAAUAGAAUAUAUAUGAAAAUUAAAAAAACAAGGCAAGAAGUUUUUUUUAAAAUUUUGGUCCAUCUAGUCUUACAUUGUAAGAAUGUAGUACCUUGUGAAAAAUAACGAUCCAUCAGUAAAAAUUUAAAAAACGAUUCACUGUGAACUAGAGAUUUAGAAUUCAAACUGUCCAAGAUGAAAAUGUCAUCUCAAGAUCCACUUAUGAGUAAUUGUUAAAGUUUUUGGAAUUUUCAUGCUAGGAGGUGAAAUCUGUUGCAAAGCUGAAUUUAUAAGGUUAGGGGGGACUGUCCAUUAAGAAUACUUCUUCUUUACACAGAGACUAAUGGCUUCUUUGAUGGUCCAAAGCAUAGGCACCUGAAUUCUGAAACAUUAUCCAUCACAAAUCUCCAGCAUUCUUCAGAGGAAACACACAAGGCAACUUUCAGCUUCUUUGAUUACAAAUGCCAAAGUUUUUUUUCAGGCUAGUAGAUUUAAUGUUUCAUCCCACAUUUUAGCCCUGCUACAAGAAAAUAUCUUUUAUUUCAAUACAAACCAGUGAUUUGCAAGCCUGGCUGGUAAUCAGAAUCACCUUUUAAAAAUUAUAAAUUGCCAGCCAGGUGCGGUGGCUCACGCCUGUAAUCCCAGCACUUUGGGAGGCUGAGGCAGGCAGAUCACGAGGUCAGGGGAUCAAGACCAUCCUGGCUAACACGGUUAAACCCCGUCUCUACUAAGACAUACAAAAAAAUUAGCUGGGCGUGGUGGCAGGAACCUGGUAGUCCCAGCAGGAGAAUAGCAUGAACCCGGGAGGCAGAGCUUGCAAUAAGCCGAGAUCGCGCCACUGCACUCCAGCCUGGGCGACAGAGCGAGACUCCGUCUCAAAAAAAAAAAAAAAAAAAAAAAAUCGAUUGCCAGCCCACCAGCCAAAAGUCAAUCCCUUAGAUGGGUCCAAGUGAUUUUUACUUAAGUCAUAUUAAAAACUACUGACUUAAAUUGUCUCCCUGUGUCCUCAAGGAAUGUGCAUUUAGAUAAGUUAUUUGGGAUGGUGAAAUAAGAGUGAUCUUCAUGUUAACAAACAGAGAGCAAAUGUAAAUGGUACAGAGGCAGAAAAAUGGGGACCUGCUAUUUUUCUUUAACAGAAGGGCUAAAAAUUUAACAUAUCAGAUAGAUAUUCAAAUGAAAAUACAAAUUCAAAGUAAAAUGAACUUUUUUGGAUUAUUGGUUAUUUUAGAUUAUCAACAACACCAUUUCAUUAGUCCACAGUAUAGAAAGACUACAGUUGAAAAUAAUAUUCCACC
rnacentral:lncRNA from 10 species